GGCCAUUGAUGUUUAUUAUUUCUGCUCCCCACUCUUGUCUUCCAGGUCUUGGGAUGUGACCUGAACUCAGGUGCACUCCCUGGCCAUGCAGCCUCCCUGUGAAAGCAGUUUCAUGUACACUUGCACUCACGCUGCCCCAUGGCACCUCUGUUCUGUGUAAUUGCUCCCCUGCUCUGAGUCAUGGUGUUCCAGCAUUGUGCACUGUAUUAGCACUGCCUGCAACAUGCAUGAGCUCCUCAGCUCCUGCCUAGCCUGGCAUAGGGGAUCCUCUCCCCUUCUUUCCACACCAGACUCUGACCUGCCCCUGCAGUGCAGCAGGCACAGCCUGAUCUCUGAAACCUGCUCCAGCUCAUGGCCUUGGGCUCCUGCAGCAGCACUGAUUUCUCUGCAGUCAUUCUACAGGGGAAGCAAAAUGCUCCCUGCUGUCUGUUUUAUCUGUGUCCAUCUUAAGCACUGGAGAAAGGUGUUAUUGGAGCUCAACAGAAGGAUAGCACCUCUGCAAUCCAGCCUGUGCCGGUGCCGACAGCACUUGCAAGAAGCCUGCUAUUCAACUGACUUUUAAUGACUGAGCAGCUUUGCUGCUGGGGAAGUUUUGGUCCCUGGGAUAAAAAUAAAUGGGACAUGCCUUUAUUUUUCA
rnacentral:lncRNA from 1 species